CCCGCUGCCAAGAAAAGCUUCUAGCGAGAUAAAAGGUGCCUGUACCGCAAACCGACACAGGUAGGCGAGGAGAGAAUCCUAAGGUGUGCGAGAGAACUCUGGUUAAGGAACUCGGCAAAAUGACCCCGUAACUUCGGGAGAAGGGGUGCUUUCUUAACGGAAAGCCGCAGUGAAUAGGCCCAAGCGACUGUUUAGCAAAAACACAGCUCUCUGCGAAGCCGUAAGGCGAAGUAUAGGGGGUGACACCUGCCCGGUGCUGGAAGGUUAAGGAGAGGGGUUAGCGUAAGCGAAGCUCUGAACUGAAGCCCCAGUAAACGGCGGCCGUAACUAUAACGGUCCUAAGGUAGCGAAAUUCCUUGUCGGGUAAGUUCCGACCCGCACGAAAGGUGUAACGAUUUGGGCACUGUCUCAACCAGAGACUCGGUGAAAUUAUAGUACCUGUGAAGAUGCAGGUUACCCGCGACAGGACGGAAAGACCCCGUGGAGCUUUACUGUAGCCUGAUAUUGAAUUUUGGUACAUUUUGUACAGGAUAGGCGGGAGCCUUUGAAACCGGAGCGCUAGCUUCGGUGGAGGCGCUGGUGGGAUACCGCCCUGAAUGUAUUGAAAUUCUAACCUACGGGUCUUAUCGACCCGGGAGACAGUGUCAGGUGGGCAGUUUGACUGGGGCGGUCGCCUCCUAAAGUGUAACGGAGGCGCCCAAAGGUUCCCUCAGAAUGGUUGGAAAUCAUUCGUAGAGUGCAAAGGCAUAAGGGAGCUUGACUGCGAGACCUACAAGUCGAGCAGGGACGAAAGUCGGGCUUAGUGAUCCGGUGGUUCCGCAUGGAAGGGCCAUCGCUCAACGGAUAAAAGCUACCCCGGGGAUAACAGGCUUAUCUCCCCCAAGAGUCCACAUCGACGGGGAGGUUUGGCACCUCGAUGUCGGCUCAUCGCAUCCUGGGGCUGUAGUCGGUCCCAAGGGUUGGGCUGUUCGCCCAUUAAAGCGGUACGCGAGCUGGGUUCAGAACGUCGUGAGACAGUUCGGUCCCUAUCCGUCGUGGGCGUAGGAAAUUUGAGAGGAGCUGUCCUUAGUACGAGAGGACCGGGAUGGACGCACCGCUGGUGUACCAGUUGUUCUGCCAAGGGCAUAGCUGGGUAGCUAUGUGCGGAAGGGAUAAGUGCUGAAAGCAUCUAAGCAUGAAGCCCCCCUCAAGAUGAGAUUUCCCAUAGCGUAAGCUAGUAAGAUCCCUGAAAGAUGAUCAGGUUGAUAGGUUCGAGGUGGAAGCAUGGUGACAUGUGGAGCUGACGAAUACUAAUAGAUCGAGGACUUAACCAUAUAA
rnacentral:rRNA from 1 species